GACGAAAAAUGAAUACCAAGUCUCAAGAGUGAACACGUAAUUCAUUACGAAGUUUAAUUCAUUGAGCAUCAAACUUUUAAAUUGAAGAGUUUGAUCAUGGCUCAGAUUGAACGCUGGCGGCAGGCCUAACACAUGCAAGUCGAACGGUAACAGGAAGCAGCUUGCUGCUUUGCUGACGAGUGGCGGACGGGUGAGUAAUGUCUGGGAAACUGCCUGAUGGAGGGGGAUAACUACUGGAAACGGUGGCUAAUACCGCAUAACGUCGCAAGACCAAAGAGGGGGACCUUCGGGCCUCUUGCCAUCAGAUGUGCCCAGAUGGGAUUAGCUUGUUGGUGAGGUAACGGCUCACCAAGGCGACGAUCCCUAGCUGGUCUGAGAGGAUGACCAGCCACACUGGAACUGAGACACGGUCCAGACUCCUACGGGAGGCAGCAGUGGGGAAUAUUGCACAAUGGGCGCAAGCCUGAUGCAGCCAUGCCGCGUGUAUGAAGAAGGCCUUCGGGUUGUAAAGUACUUUCAGCGGGGAGGAAGGUGUUGUGGUUAAUAACCGCAGCAAUUGACGUUACCCGCAGAAGAAGCACCGGCUAACUCCGUGCCAGCAGCCGCGGUAAUACGGAGGGUGCAAGCGUUAAUCGGAAUUACUGGGCGUAAAGCGCACGCAGGCGGUCUGUCAAGUCGGAUGUGAAAUCCCCGGGCUCAACCUGGGAACUGCAUUCGAAACUGGCAGGCUUGAGNNNNNNNNNNNNNNNNNNNNGAAAUGCGUAGAGAUCUGGAGGAAUACCGGUGGCGAAGGCGGCCCCCUGGACAAAGACUGACGCUCAGGUGCGAAAGCGUGGGGAGCAAACAGGAUUAGAUACCCUGGUAGUCCACGCCGUAAACGAUGUCUACUUGGAGGUUGUGCCCUUGAGGCGUGGCUUCCGGAGCUAACGCGUUAAGUAGACCGCCUGGGGAGUACGGCCGCAAGGUUAAAACUCAAAUGAAUUGACGGGGGCCCGCACAAGCGGUGGAGCAUGUGGUUUAAUUCGAUGCAACGCGAAGAACCUUACCUGGUCUUGACAUCCACGGAAGUUUUCAGAGAUGAGAAUGUGCCUUCGGGAACCGUGAGACAGGUGCUGCAUGGCUGUCGUCAGCUCGUGUUGUGAAAUGUUGGGUUAAGUCCCGCAACGAGCGCAACCCUUAUCCUUUGUUGCCAGCGGUCCGGCCGGGAACUCAAAGGAGACUGCCAGUGAUAAACUGGAGGAAGGUGGGGAUGACGUCAAGUCAUCAUGGCCCUUACGACCAGGGCUACACACGUGCUACAAUGGCGCAUACAAAGAGAAGCGACCUCGCGAGAGCAAGCGGACCUCAUAAAGUGCGUCGUAGUCCGGAUUGGAGUCUGCAACUCGACUCCAUGAAGUCGGAAUCGCUAGUAAUCGUGGAUCAGAAUGCCACGGUGAAUACGUUCCCGGGCCUUGUACACACCGCCCGUCACACCAUGGGAGUGGGUUGCAAAAGAAGUAGGUAGCUUAACCUUCGGGAGGGCGCUUACCACUUUGUGAUUCAUGACUGGGGUGAAGUCGUAACAAGGUAACCGUAGGGGAACCUGCGGUUGGAUCACCUCCUUACCUUAAAGAAGCGUACUUUGCAGUGCUCACACAGAUUGUCUGAUGAAAA
rnacentral:rRNA from 1 species